ACGCUCGACACCUACGGGAGACAGCAGUUGGGAAUAUUGGACAAUGGAGGAAACUCUGAUCCAGUGACGCCGCGUGAAGGAAGAAGGUCUUCGGAUUGUAAACUUAUUUUGUCAGGGAAGAAAAAUGACUGUACCUGAAGAAAAAGCACCGGCUAACUACGUGCCAACAGCCGCGGUAAUCUGAGCGGGCUGGCAAGGC
rnacentral:rRNA from 1 species